CACGGAGUUAGCCGGUGCUUAUUCAAAUGGUACCGUCAAGUGAUCAAGAAUGACCUUUUUUCGUCCCAUAUAAAAGAAGUUUACAAUCCAGAGGACCUUCAUCCUUCACGCGGCAUGGCUGGUUCAGACUUGCGUCCAUUGACCAAUAUUCCUUACUGCUGCCUCCCGUAGGAGUCGGGCCCGUGUCUCAGUGCCCGUGUGGCUGAUCAUGCUCUCACAUCAGCUACUGAUCGUAGACUUGGUAGGCCGUUACCCUGCCAACUAUCUAAUCAGCCGCACACCCAUCAUCUAGCGCCGGAGCUAUAAUAUUAAAGUGAUGCCACUUCAAUAUGUUACGGGGUAUUAAUCCAAGUUUCCCUGGGCUAUUCCCCACUAGAAGGAAGGUUGUGUACGUGUUCCGCACCCGUUUGCCGGUCGCCAGCGAGUAUUGCUACCCCUGCUGCCCCACGACUUGCAUGUAUUAAGCCUGCCGCUAGCGUUCA
rnacentral:rRNA from 1 species